AUGAAGCUGACGAGGAGGGACAUUAUAGAGUUUUCUAAACUCCCAACCCAUGUGAACUUACCUUUUGUUGCCUCGGCAGAAGUUAUAGGUCUUCUUAUAGCUGCUGCCGGUGGACCAUUAAACUCUUGUUAUUUUAUGUAAUCUGAGCGUCUUAUUUUAAUAAGUCAAAACUUUCAACAACGGAUCUCUUGGUUCUGGCAUCGAUGAAGAACGCAGCGAAAUGCGAUAAGUAAUGUGAAUUGCAGAAUUCAGUGAAUCAUCGAAUCUUUGAACGCACAUUGCGCCCAUUAGUAUUCUAGUGGGCAUGCCUGUUCGAGCGUCAUUUCAACCCUUAAGCCUAGCUUAGUGUUGGGAAUCUACUUCUCUUAGGAGUUGUAGUUCCUGAAAUACAACGGCGGAUUUGUAGUAUCCUCUGAGCGUAGUAAUUUUUUUCUCGCUUUUGUUAGGUGCUAUAACUCCCAGCCGCUAAACCCCCAAUUUUUUGUGGUUGACCUCGGAUCAGGUAGGAAUACCCGCUGAACUUAAGCAUAUCAUAAACAGAGAAGAGAGAAAGGGG
rnacentral:rRNA from 1 species